rnacentral:rRNA from 1 species
UGGGGAAUAUUGCACAAUGGGGAAAGCCCUGAUGCAGCAACGCCGCGUGAAGGAAGACGGUUUUCGGAUUGUAAACUUCUUUUCUUAGUGAAGAAGCAAGUGACGGUAGCUAAGGAAUAAGCAUCGGCUAACUACGUGCCAGCAGCCGCGGUAAUACGUAGGAUGCGAGCGUUAUCCGGAAUUACUGGGUGUAAAGGGAGCGCAGGCGGGACUGCAAGUUGGAUGUGAAAUACCGCAGCUUAACUGCGGAGCUGCAUCCAAAACUGUAGUUCUUGAGUGGAGUAGAGGCAAGCGGAAUUCCGAGUGUAGCGGUGAAAUGCGUAGAUAUUCGGAGGAACACCAGUGGCGAAGGCGGCUUGCUGGACGACAACUGACGCUGAGGCGCGAAAGCGUGGGGAGCAAACAGGAUUAGAUACCC